ACGCUCGACACCUACGGAAGGCAGCAGUGGGGAAUAUUGCACAAUGGGGGAAACCCUGAUGCAGCGACGCCGCGUGAAGGAAGAAGUAUCUCGGUAUGUAAACUUCUAUCAGCAGGGAAGAAAGUGACGGUACCUGACUAAGAAGCCCCGGCUAACUACGUGCCAGCAGUCGCGGUAAUCUGAGCGGGCUGGCAAGGC
rnacentral:rRNA from 1 species